rnacentral:rRNA from 1 species
ACGGGAAGAGCCCAAACCAACAAGCUUGCUUGUUGGGGUUGUAGGACACUCUAUACGGAGUUACAAAGGACGACAUUAGACGAAUCAUCUGGAAAGAUGAAUCAAAGAAGGUAAUAAUCCUGUAGUCGAAAAUGUUGUCUCUCUUGAGUGGAUCCUGAGUACGACGGAGCACGUGAAAUUCCGUCGGAAUCUGGGAGGACCAUCUCCUAAGGCUAAAUACUCUCUAGUGACCGAUAGUGAACCAGUACCGUGAGGGAAAGGUGAAAAGCACCCCGGAAGGGGAGUGAAAUAGAACCUGAAACCGUGUGCUUACAAGUAGUCAGAGCCCGUUAAUGGGUGAUGGCGUGCCUUUUGUAGAAUGAACCGGCGAGUUACGAUUUGAUGCAAGGUUAAGCAGUAAAUGUGGAGCCGUAGCGAAAGCGAGUCUGAAUAGGGCGUUUAGUAUUUGGUCGUAGACCCGAAACCAGGUGAUCUACCCUUGGUCAGGUUGAAGUUCAGGUAACACUGAAUGGAGGACCG